rnacentral:rRNA from 1 species
CCUACGGGAGGCAGCAGUGAGGAAUCUUGGUCAAUGGCCGCAGGGCUGAACCAGCCAAGUCGCGUGAGGGAUGACGGUCCUAUGUAUUGUAAACCUCUUUUGUCAGGGAGCAAAGGGCGCCACGUGUGGCGCUUUGCGAGUACCUGAAGAAUAAGCAUCGGCUAACUCCGUGCCAGCAGCCGCGGUAAUACGGAGGAUGCGAGCGUUAUCCGGAUUUAUUGGGUUUAAAGGGUGCGCAGGAGGAAUGUCAAGUCAGCGGUAAAAUUUCGGGGCUCAACCCCGUCGUGCCGUUGAAACUGGCGUUCUUGAGUGAGCGAGAAGUAGGCGGAAUGCGUGGUGUAGCGGUGAAAUGCAUAGAUAUCACGCAGAACUCCGAUUGCGAAGGCAGCAUACCGGCGCUCAACUGACGCUCAUGCACGAAAGCGUGGGUAUCGAACAGGAUUAGAUACCCUAGUAGUC